rnacentral:rRNA from 1 species
GAUGAACGCUGGCGGCGUGCCUAAUACAUGCCAGUCGAGCGAACGGACGAGAAGCUUGCUUCUCUGAUGUUAGCGGCGGACGGGUGAGUAACACGUGGAUAACCUACCUAUAAGACUGGGAUAACUUCGGGAAACCGGAGCUAAUACCGGAUGAUAUUUUGAACCGCAUGGUUCAAAGGUGAAAGACGGUCUUGCUGUCACUUAUAGAUGGAUCCACGCUGCAUUAGCUAGUUGGUAAGGUAACGGCUUACCAAGGCAACGAUGCAUAGCCGACCUGAGAGGGUGAUCGGCCACACUGGAACUGAGACACGGUCCAGACUCCUACGGGAGGCAGCAGUAGGGAAUCUUCCGCAAUGGGCGAAAGCCUGACGGAGCAACGCCGCGUGAGUGAUGAAGGUCUUCGGAUCGUAAAACUCUGUUAUUAGGGAAGAACAUAUGUGUAAGUAACUGUGCACAUCUUGACGGUACCUAAUCAGAAAGCCACGGCUAACUACGUG